AUUAGCAGUACACAAAGCUGGAUGAAACGAAGUCAGACAGCUGAACUGUUCUUCUAUUACAUUAAGAUUUUUUGACUUACAUUUUUCAGCAAGCAUGACACACCAUAUCGAGCUUCUUCAAAAACUUUUAUCAGCCAUAACCAAAGCUGUGAGCAUUAUCCUGCUCAUAGUCACUUUCUUCAUUCUUCAGUACUUACUGGAUAUGGAUUAUGUUUGUUCCUGCGAUCCAGAUUCACAUAUGACUGAAACCACACAGGAAUUGCUUGUAAGGAGAAUCUGACAAAUGAGGAAAAGCACACCAAAGCUAAAUAUAAGAAUGCGUCAAUGAACAUUGCCUUUUAUGUUUUGACUCUGCUUUUCGCAAUUUGGAAUAUCUACGAAUUGUGUAAACCCUUUUGUAUGAGAAUCUUCAACAAGAACAAGUUCACAGGGUUGCCCUCCUACUACCGAUGGAUGUAUGAAGAACUUCUUUCAGAGGAGGUGAGCAACCACUUGAAAGAAGAGUUAAAAAAUAUAGCAGAAGAAAAAGCAAAGAAACUCUGUGAAGGAUACUUGAAUGAUAUUCGAAAAGCUGAGCUGCAGAGACAACCAGAAAAUCACGAUAGCAACAAUUCCAAUAAUUCUAACAGUAAUGAUGAACGUAAUCCCAAGGACAGUGGAAGUGAAGCCGUCAGUACCGACACCCUCAUGUCCAAUUCUGACAGCAAUGCUGACCAAAAUUCAUCUGUCACAGCUGCCUGGCAUAAAAUUUCUGAACCACAUUUCUACCUGAACGAUUGCGCUCAGGUGGGGCAGAGCUAAAAACAAUGUUACUGUGACAAAAAUAAGCUUUACAGAGACUGUUGUUGGUUCUUGCAUUAGUUUCCAUUUAAUUUCAAAUAUUUUUUUAAACUUUAAUGCUUGUUUCAAAGUCGCUGCACGCUCUGUUCAGUAUGCCCUCGAUACACUGUUCUAAUACUGGUGAACCUUCUUUUACCUCCAAGGUGCUGAAGCCAUGUAAUAAAUUACAUUAUAUGGUGCUUUAACAUUAUCAACAUUAUCAAAAUUUUAAACCAAAGACAUUCCUAUUUAUCCGUGCCAUUCAGUCACUAUGUUUGUUUUCACUAUUUUACGCUAUAUUUAGCAAUUUGUAAAGUUUUUAAGUUUUACGUCAACUCUUUUUUAUUGGUUUUAUUGUGUGGUUAUUAUCUAUUUUACUGGUGUAUUCAUAGUGUUAGUAAGGGUCUUGCCAAAGUUCUGUUUAUGCAUUUAAAUCAAGGUUUAUUAUCUUGUUGCAUGAACCUAUCAGGUUCAUUUAAGUGACUCUUUAACUAUAUCUACAGAUAAAUCAUCAUGGCACAGUCUGAUAUAAAUGUAAUAUGUGUAAAGCGUUAUUAUUAAAUACAGAGAAUUGUAUCGUCAGAUAGAAAUACUGUCAAUGUAAACAAAGUCUGUGUGAGUAACACCUUUGUAAAUAAAUUCUUUUCUUCUGUUCAACAUUGUCAGCUGAGCAAAUUACACAAAUAAAUGUCUCAUACGUCC
ensembl:lncRNA